AAGGAAGUAAUUCUAUUAAAAUUAUCACUCAAUCGAGCGAGUUGAAUACAAAUGUAUCGUAACAUAUCCAAAUAACUUGUUGGGAUACAAAUGUAUCGUAACACAUAACACAUCUAAAUAACUUGUUGGAGCGUCAUCAAAAUAAGAAAAAAUUGUGUUAUCAUCAAUUCAAAAUGGCGAUUGCAUACCCUCACGUUGUCAUAUACAAACAGAACAAAAAGUUAACGUAAUACCCACAGUGAUACAUAUGAAUAGGGUCCAUUUAUUCAACAAAUCAAACUUCGCUAUAGGUUAACUUGAAUCCUCUUUUGGUACUACGUCAGAAGAUUCGCUAUGACUACUUGUGUCAACCCAAAACAUAGUUCGUGUCAUACCUUCAGAAUUCCAUACACGAAACGCUAGAGAAUUAGAGUCCAUUAUCCUUGUCUACAAAUGGACACCCAACGUGUUUCAACAAAUCUUGGCUUUUGACAUGUAAUGGGUCACCCAUUGGGCUUUGAAUUUGAUCUAGGCACCCACCCAAACAUUAAAUGUUGCUCAAACCCACUCGUCGUCUGUCGAAAGAGAGGCAGAUUAUAACAAGAGACUCCAGCCACCACUUGUUGAACCUUCUUCGAAGUCCAUCUUUGUAUGUAAGAGCAACUAUCAAUGUCGGUCCACAUCAAAACCCGUCCCAAAUCAUACGGCCAAAUCGUCCUUCUAAGAUUCGCCGCCUUCCUCCACCACUCAAGCGAAUCAAUCAUUGUUGAGUGUCAAUUCCGACCGUCGACGAUUCCUCCCUGUCCUCGAUUCCACAUACCUCGACACACCCCGGCGCGCAUAACCUUACGUUUCAGUCAUCGGAACGAAGCCUAACAUUGGAGGUCGGCGAUUUUCUCCUCAAGGUCAUUAGGUAGUCACUAGAAUUAAUGAAAUCAUAGUGACUGCCUAAGAAAAUUACAAAUCCAUUAUUUGUAGUAUAGAUUAGCGAUGUAAUUGGGUAAAGUAAUUUCCCAGAAAGGAAAGGGAUGACAAAGUAGUAUAAUGACUAUAAUCAGUAGCGCAGCGCGUGUGUUGCGGGAGUGGGCAAAGCAUUUAAAAUAAAUCGGCAUGUGAUUAAAUGAUAACAAAAUACGGUAAAACUACGAUAAGUUACUAAGUUAGAAGCUGAUCGCGCGUGAGGAGCGUGGGUGUGAGACGUUGACUGGGAGCGAGGUCGGACGCCGAGUUUGAAAAUUCAAAUAGUCGCCGGUUUGGAGCAAACAAGAAGAAGAAGGAGGAGCAAGGAAGAUUCCUGAACGAGGCAGAAAACAAAUUUUAAAGGUGCGUCGCGUGCGCUCGUCUCUACGGACAAUAUUACAAAUAUGGGCUAUGUCUGAUUGGGCCCUACUUGAUUGCAAUUAUGUAGUCAAAUCCAACUGUACUGUGUUGCUGGAUUCAUUUAAUUCAGUGUAAAUAAUGGUUUUUCAUUAACAAAAAUGAAAAUUAGACAUAUGUCAUUAAGGUUUUCUCGAUUAGUUUUCUAAGUAUUUCUUAAAUGAGAUUAGUAGAUGUCUCUUAAUCAUCAGUCAGCUGACGCCAGAAAAAUAUGGGACGGGUGGUAAUAGGAUUAGAAAAUUUAUAGUAGGAAUUUUAAAUCAGUAUUUUAAUUAUUUUUAAAACAAUUUAUGUGUUAUUUAGUGUCUCAUGGUUCAAUUUAUAUAAUUUAAAAGAGAUAUAUGUUUGUUAAUUUACUUGUUUGUUUGUGAAAGUGUUCACAUUAGAAAUUUAAUUUAAUGAUCCAUGAUUUAUGUCUUAAAAUGUCGUGUAGGUCAAAUUGGCGACUGAUCAACUUGUUCAUGACAUGAAUCUUAUGUUGCUUCACUAUGGAGUUGCAUGCUCUUCUCAUAGCAUGUUCCAUUUUGAAGGAUGAAAGCGGUGGAA
rnacentral:lncRNA from 1 species